UCUGGCGUUUACUGACGACCUUCUCUGUGACAUUUCCUCCGGCAUCGAUCUCCAUCGACGACAUCUCCUACAGCGGCGAUUUCAUCCGGUGUCGUCUCCUGCAACUUCCUCUCCUUGUCGUCCUCUGUGUCUUCUCCGCCAAAAUCGUCAACGCCUUCCUCUUCGACGAUCCAGAUCCGCCGCUAGGGAUUGCAUUCCGCAGGAGAGGAAUUCCUUUGUCAACUUCCAAGCCAAAACCGGUGUAGAGAAUGCAGAACUGUGUCUGGUGUUGUUGGACCGUUGGAUACUCUUGAUAAAGUUAAGGUAAUGACUAGUUUUGAUGCUAUGCUUAUUGCAUAUUCUAGAAUUUUGAACUUUUCUCAAUGAAAUGUUUCACUUUCUGUGUGGUGUGACUGAAUUUUAUACUGAUCAACUGCAAUAGGGACCAAAAUUUCAAGAGAUUGUUAAACUAGAAAUUAAACUUUCUGUUUCUUGUGUAAUUAUUUGAACUAGAAAUUAAACUUUCUGUUUCUUGUGCAGUGAUCUUAGCAACAACCACAUUGGAGGGACAUUCCAUUCACUGUGUAAUAAA